ACGGAGGGUGCGAGCGUUGUUCGGAAUUACUGGGCGUAAAGCGCGUGUAGGCGGCUUGGCAAGUCGGAUGUGAAAGCCCGAGGCUCAACCUCGGAACUGCAUUCGAAACUGUCAGGCUAGAGUCCCGGAGAGGAUGGUGGAAUUCCCAGUGUAGAGGUGAAAUUCGUAGAUAUUGGGAGGAACACCAGUGGCGAAGGCGGCCAUCUGGACGGUGACUGACGCUGAGACGCGAAAGCGUGGGGAGCAAACAGG
rnacentral:rRNA from 1 species